UACGUAGGUCCCGAGCGUUGUCCGGAUUUAUUGGGCGUAAAGCGAGCGCAGGCGGUUUGAUAAGUCAGAAGUAAAAGGCUGUGGCUCAACCAUAGUACGCUUUUGAAACUGUCAAACUUGAGUGCAGAAGGGGGGAGUGGAAUUCCAUGUGUAGCGGUGAAAUGCGUAGAUAUAUGGAGGAACACCGGUGGCGAAAGCGGCUCUCUGGUCUGUAACUGACGCUGAGGUUCGAAAGCGUGGGUAGCAAACAGG
rnacentral:rRNA from 1 species